rnacentral:rRNA from 1 species
UGGGGAAUCUUGCACAAUGGAGGAAACUCUGAUGCAGCGACGCCGCGUGAGCGAUGAAGCCCUUCGGGGUGUAAAGCUCUUUCGACGGGAACGAUAAUGACGGUACCCGAAGAAGAAGCUGCGGCUAACUACGUGCCAGCAGCCGCGGUAAUACGUAGGCAGCAAGCGUUGUUCGGAAUUACUGGGCGUAAAGAGUGUGUAGGCGGUGCUCUAAGUCUGUUGUGAAAUCUCCCGGCUUAACCGGGAGGGUGCGGCGGAAACUGGAGUGCUUGAGGGUGGGAGAGGUAAGCGGAAUUCCUGGUGUAGCGGUGAAAUGCGUAGAUAUCAGGAGGAACACCUGUGGUGUAGACAGCUUACUGGACCACUUCUGACGCUGAGACACGAAAGCGUGGGUAGCAAACA